rnacentral:rRNA from 1 species
GUUAUAUGGUCAAGUGAAGAAGCGCAUACGGUGGAUGCCUUGGCAGUCAGAGGCGAUGAAAGACGUGGUAGCCUGCGAAAAGCUUCGGGGAGUCGGCAAACAGACUUUGAUCCGGAGAUCUCUGAAUGGGGGAACCCACCUAGGAUAACCUAGGUAUCUUGUACUGAAUCCAUAGGUGCAAGAGGCGAACCAGGGGAACUGAAACAUCUAAGUACCCUGAGGAAAAGAAAUCAACCGAGAUUCCCUUAGUAGUGGCGAGCGAACGGGGAUUAGCCCUUAAGCUUCAUUGAUUUUAGCGGAACGCUCUGGAAAGUGCGGCCAUAGUGGGUGAUAGCCCCGUACGCGAAAGGAUCUUUGAAGUGAAAUCGAGUAGGACGGAGCACGAGAAACUUUGUCUGAACAUGGGGGGACCAUCCUCCAAGGCUAAAUACUACUGACUGACCGAUAGUGAACCAGUACCGUGAGGGAAAGGCGAAAAGAACCCCGGAGAGGGGAGUGAAAUAGAACCUGAAACCGUAUGCGUACAAGCAGUGGGAGCCUACUUGUUAGGUGACUGCGUACCUUUUGUAUAAUGGGUCAGCGACUUAUAUUCAGUGGCAAGCUUAACCGUAUAGGGUAGGCGUAGCGAAAGCGAGUCUUAAUAGGGCGUUUAGUCGCUGGGUAUAGACCCGAAACCGGGCGAUCUAUCCAUGAGCAGGUUGAAGGUUAGGUAACACUGACUGGAGGACCGAACCCACUCCCGUUGAAAAGGUAGGGGAUGACUUGUGGAUCGGAGUGAAAGGCUAAUCAAGCUCGGAGAUAGCUGGUUCUCCUCGAAAGCUAUUUAGGUAGCGCCUCAUGUAUCACUCUGGGGGGUAGAGCACUGUUUCGGCUAGGGGGUCAUCCCGACUUACCAAACCGAUGCAAACUCCGAAUACCCAGAAGUGCCGAGCAUGGGAGACACACGGCGGGUGCUAACGUCCGUCGUGAAAAGGGAAACAACCCAGACCGCCAGCUAAGGUCCCAAAGUUGUGGUUAAGUGGUAAACGAUGUGGGAAGGCUUAGACAGCUAGGAGGUUGGCUUAGAAGCAGCCACCCUUUAAAGAAAGCGUAAUAGCUCACUAGUCGAGUCGGCCUGCGCGGAAGAUGUAACGGGGCUCAAACCACACACCGAAGCUGCGGGUGUCACGUAAGUGACGCGGUAGAGGAGCGUUCUGUAAGCCUGUGAAGGUGAGUUGAGAAGCUUGCUGGAGGUAUCAGAAGUGCGAAUGCUGACAUGAGUAACGACAAUGGGUGUGAAAAACACCCACGCCGAAAGACCAAGGGUUCCUGCGCAACGUUAAUCGACGCAGGGUUAGUCGGUUCCUAAGGCGAGGCUGAAAAGCGUAGUCGAUGGGAAACAGGUUAAUAUUCCUGUACUUCUGGUUACUGCGAUGGAGGGACGGAGAAGGCUAGGCCAGCUUGGCGUUGGUUGUCCAAGUUUAAGGUGGUAGGCUGAAAUCUUAGGUAAAUCCGGGGUUUCAAGGCCGAGAGCUGAUGACGAGUCGUCUUUUAGAUGACGAAGUGGUUGAUGCCAUGCUUCCAAGAAAAGCUUCUAAGCUUCAGGUAACCAGGAACCGUACCCCAAACCGACACAGGUGGUCGGGUAGAGAAUACCAAGGCGCUUGAGAGAACUCGGGUGAAGGAACUAGGCAAAAUGGCACCGUAACUUCGGGAGAAGGUGCGCCGGCUAGGGUGAAGGAUUUACUCCGUAAGCUCUGGCUGGUCGAAGAUACCAGGCCGCUGCGACUGUUUAUUAAAAACACAGCACUCUGCAAACACGAAAGUGGACGUAUAGGGUGUGACGCCUGCCCGGUGCCGGAAGGUUAAUUGAUGGGGUUAGCGCAAGCGAAGCUCUUGAUCGAAGCCCCGGUAAACGGCGGCCGUAACUAUAACGGUCCUAAGGUAGCGAAAUUCCUUGUCGGGUAAGUUCCGACCUGCACGAAUGGCGUAACGAUGGCGGCGCUGUCUCCACCCGAGACUCAGUGAAAUUGAAAUCGCUGUGAAGAUGCAGUGUAUCCGCGGCUAGACGGAAAGACCCCGUGAACCUUUACUGUAGCUUUGCACUGGACUUUGAGCCUGCUUGUGUAGGAUAGGUGGGAGGCUUUGAAGCGUGGACGCCAGUUCGCGUGGAGCCAUCCUUGAAAUACCACCCUGGCAUGCUUGAGGUUCUAACUCUGGUCCGUGAUCCGGAUCGAGGACAGUGUAUGGUGGGCAGUUUGACUGGGGCGGUCUCCUCCUAAAGAGUAACGGAGGAGUACGAAGGUGCGCUCAGACCGGUCGGAAAUCGGUCGUAGAGUAUAAAGGCAAAAGCGCGCUUGACUGCGAGACAGACACGUCGAGCAG